rnacentral:rRNA from 1 species
CUUUUUUGUGUUUUUUUUUAUUGUCGGUUUUUGUAAAAUGUUGUCGAUUUAUUAGUUUUUAUGAAGAGACUUAAAAUUUGGUUUAUUGAACUGGAUUAUUACCCAGGUAAUCAAAAUUUAUUAAUACGGGAGUAAAGUUUUGUUUAAACCGAAAAAAUAUUGACUGGCUUUAGAUUUUUCUUUGGAAUAUGUAUAUAUGGAAGGCCCUCCUUUUUAGCGAGUUUUGUAGGCACAUGUAUGAUUGUUUAGUUUUUAUUUUUUUUGUAAUAUAUUUUCUUUUGUGUUAAAAAACAGAUAGAUAUUUGGCUUAUGAAUUUGUUUUUAUGCGUUACUAUUUUAAAUUUUUUUUGGAUAUUUUAUUAAUUGUUUUGUUGAAAUUGGAAAAGAAAGUAAUUGUUUUUU